AUACGUAGGUGGCAAGCGUUGUCCGGAUUUACUGGGCGUAAAGCGCAUGUAGGCGGUUUGGUAAGUCGGUCGUGAAAAUGCGGUGCUUAACGCCGUAUGGCGAUCGAGACUGCUGAACUUGAGUGCAGGAGAGGAAAGGGGAACUCCCAGUGUAGCGGUGAAAUGCGUAGAUAUUGGGAAGAACCCCGGUGGCGAAGGCGCCUUUCUGGACUGUGUCUGACGCUCAGAUGCGAAAGCCAGGGUAGCGAACGGGAUUAGAUACCCCGGUAGUCCUGGCCGUAAACGAUGGGUACUAGGUGUGGGAGGUAUCGACUCCUUCCGUGCCGGAGUUAACGCAAUAAGUACCCCGCCUGGGGAGUACGGCCGCAAG
rnacentral:rRNA from 1 species